AGAUUAGCAAAAAAGAAAAAUGAACGUUAACCACGGAGAUGAAACUGAAGUUAACCACGGAGAUGAAACUGAAGUUGACAAUGAUGGGGAAGAUGAAAUUUAUCAUAAGCGACCUGAUAAAGACAAAGCACUAAAGAAAUACAGUCAGUAUUUUUGUCAUUAAAUAUUUGUUAUUAG
rnacentral:lncRNA from 1 species